AAAACAAUUCGCGCGACGACAAACCUUCGUAGCACUAAAGUAAAGGAAAGGAAAUAAUUCAUCGUGCAAAAUACUGAACAACAAAUUACUUAUAAUUUAAUAACUUUUAAAUUAUUGGAAAAUAAUAAAAUGUCCUUGCACUAAUAUUUGGAUAACAACAGUAUUCGUCGCGCAAGUACGUACAUACCUAAGGAAACAUUUUUGUCGUCAUUAUUUCAAUGCAACAACAUAUUUUGUAGUUCUAAAUCUUGCGCCACAAAGGGCUUUGUCCCUUAAAACUUAGUGUGACUAACAAUCCUUCAUGGUUUGAAAUCUUACGCCACGAAGGCCUUUGUCCCUUAAAACUUAGUGCGACGAAUAUCACUUUCGUCAUGCAAAAGUGUUUGCGUGACAAAUUUUCAUGUCUUCGUCAUGCAAACCCUAACUUCAUGAGCUUUGCGCGAUGACAUGAUGGCAACGAAGCUUUGAUUGCAAUUUUUUGGACGCUAAAACUCUUCUCUGUGAAACAGCCUUCAUUUCGUCACGGUAGCUGUUAAAUCUCGUAGUGUCUACAAGGCUAAAGGGUUAUACUGUAUUAGUGUAAGAUUCCUCAUGCAAGUGUUACAUUGUUCUUUUAGAAAACUUCAUUUUAAUCCUUAAAAAAGAUGAGUUGACACACCCCGAUCGAGAUCAAGGCAUGCUGGCCGUUACGUGAAGGUGACGUAGCCAUGUGCACAGUGCGGAAGUAAAUAAGAUAAGAAAUAUAUGAAUAAAUAAAAACCGAGAGCUACUAAAGUGCACUAAUAAACAGGAAGUGUUAGGAGUAAGAUAUAAAAGUAAAAACUCCUAAUUAGAGCAUAGAAAGUCUAGGUGCAGUCCAGUAGGACAAGUACAAAUUAUACAGUACCAGAAGAUGUCCUACAAUUAUUUAUUAUGUCAAAACUGCCGAAGUCCUCAAGGCCACCAAUAGCAAGCUUAUCUAAAACCUGGAGGGGCGCAAAACAGAAAGCGUGAGUGGGCAAAAACAAAUGUUUUACAAAACCAUUUCAUUUCUCAAUAGUUCUAACUCCUCGCCGUAAAACAUAUAUAAUUUUCCCAGAAAUAGAAUAUAAGCAUAUGCAUAAAUAUAUAUGUAAAUUUAUCAAUUCAAAUCAUGCAUCACAUGUUCAUAAUCAUAAGUAUGCCAUGCCAAGAUAUAACAGAGUAAGUAAUUCAGGUGAGAAUAAAUUCAUGGAAAAUAACAUAUUAGCCGGAACUCCUACAUAAGUCUGUACAGCUAAAUUCAUAGCUCAAAAGUCAAUCUAGCCAGAGUCACUACAAUAACCUAUACGGCACUAUACUGCACACGUGUCAGAACCAAUGAAAAGGUCUGUACGACAAUAUUGGGUGUAAUAUAAUUAUGCUCAAUACUAUGUUGGAAAUGUGCCCUAAAACCAAUCAUAUGAUGAUACUUUACGGACAUUUCACAUGUUAAACUAAUAUAGUUUAAUUUAAAGGGCAAAGAUUAUUGUUUGAAGCCAUCUCAUAUAAAUGUUAUACGCUUAAACGAUAAGUCUAAGGAAUAUGUAAUUGGGAGAAUGCGAUCUAAAGAAGUUAGAUUUAUGAGACCAUUCUCUUCCGUAUACAUAUCCUAAACAUUCCUGAUCAUAGGAUUGCCAAUUGGGCAUUGACAGUCCGUUAAGAUCAGUACGUGUU
rnacentral:lncRNA from 1 species